AGUUCUGCCCCACCGCUGCGGCCAUUGUCCGACCCCGGUGCGGCUGAGGCCCCUUUGGGCAGCCCCUCCGCAGAUCAGAAUUGGAGAUAACCGAGGCUUCGGCGGGGGCGGGAGGAGCUGCCCGAGGCUCUGGGUGGGCCGGAGGUCGCGAAAUCCGGAGCCCCCCAGAGGCGGUGAUUCUGACUCCUGCCCCGGAGCCGGGCCCUGGCGAGGCAGGAAUGGCCCCGAGGCCUCCGACCGCCGCGCCCCAGAGAUGGGGUUUUGCUCUAUUGCCUAGGAUGGUCUCAAACUCUUGGGCUCCUGUAACAAAGGAAGUGAACCGGCUCAAGCGUUCUGCCGGCCUUGACCUCUCAAAGUGUUAGGAUUACAGGAAUCAGUGACAUUCAAAGAUGUGUCUGUGGACUUCACCCAGGAAGAAUGGUACCAUGUCGACCCUGCUCAGAGGAGCUUAUACAGGGAUGUGAUGCUGGAGAACUAUAGCCACCUGGUUUCUCUUGGUAAGGACCACUUCUCUGAGUGUCUUUCCUGCUGAUGGGCCUUUCCUU
rnacentral:lncRNA from 10 species